CCUUGUACACACCGCCCGUCAAGUCAUGAAACGUCGGUAACACCCGAAGCCAGUGGCCCAACCGCAAGGAGGGAGCUGUCGAAGGUGGGAUCGGUGAUUAGGACU
rnacentral:rRNA from 1 species